GAUGAAGAACGCAGCGAAAUGCGAUAAGUAGUGUGAAUUGCAGAAUUCAGUGAAUCAUCGAAUCUUUGAACGCACAUUGCGCCCUUUGGUAUUCCAAAGGGCAUGCCUGUUCGAGCGUCAUUUGUACCCUCAAGCUUUGCUUGGUGUUGGGCGUCUUGUCUCUAGCUUUGCUGGAGACUCGCCUUAAAGUAAUUGGCAGCCGGUCUACUGGUUUCGGAGCGCAGCACAAGUCGCACUCUCUAUCAGCAAAGGUCUAGCAUCCAUUAAGCCUUUUUUUCAACUUUUGACCUCGGAUCAGGUAGGGAUACCCGCUGAACUUAAGCAUAUCAAUAAGCGGAGGA
rnacentral:misc_RNA from 1 species